AGUUGCCAAAGUGAUCCGCUGUCUUCAAAAUCCCUCCUUCUGUUCUACCACCUGGACUCCUCUUUUAAUUCUAAGGGUCUACGGAGUGACCUUGCAAUGGUUGCAGGUGGAGAUGUGAGUCACUAAGUUGGAAAAUUUCUAGGGAACUUGAAACGGGAGCUCAGAAAGACUAUAAAAAAACAGCCUGCACUCCUUGGUCAAGGUAGGACCCUUUAGUAUGAAGUCUCAGCUCUGAGACAAGCCUGUACAUGAAACCUCAAAUCCAGG
rnacentral:lncRNA from 1 species